GUGCUCGUUUGGGCAGCACAUAUACUAAAAUUGGAACAAUACAGAGAAGUCUAGUAUGGCCCCUAAGCAAGGAUGACAUGCAAAUUUGUGAAGCAUUCCAUACUUCU